UUAGGUACUGGCUAACCGGGGUGGUGGAGAUGCCUGUCCACACCAGUCCUGUCCCCAGGACUCCCCUUCUGUGGUCUGGAGGUUCUGGGCUGGCCUGGGCUCCUAAAGGGAGGAUUUUGCAGGCUGUCCUCCCUAAUAAAAGAUUUUCCCAAGGUUGAUCUGGAGGUGACAUUUCCCAAGGCAUGGUCGUGGCAGCCUUACUGAAAGCAAGGGCCGUUUCUCCACAGAAUGAGGAGGUAUUCAUGGAUGGCUUUGCCGGUUCCAGCCCUUGGUCCUCGGAUAGAUUUCUGUUGAGCAAGGGAGACUUCGAGAAUGCUGGCAUCCAUAGGGACAUCUGCCCUGAGCUGCUCUCAGCAGGCAGGCAGCAGCCUCCCGCAUCCACGGGAAAGGGUUUUGUUUUCUUGGCCGGGCUGGGCAGGCUGCUGUUCUCCCAAGCUCGGGGCCAUGCCGUGCCACCGUCACCAGAGCCAGCUGCAGCACUGGGGCAGCCACUGUCGCCGGACUUGGGGAAGCCCAGGGUGAAGACAGUCGCUCAUCUGCGCAAGCUCUCCAGAAGGGGUGCAAGCUCUCCAGAAGGUAUGUGAUCUCUGAGCAGUGGGGAGUGGAGUCACCACUCGGGACAUAGAGGGUGUACAGUUGAGGCCUGUAUCUGCCUCCUUGGCACUGUGGGGUGGGUGCCCUCAGUAAAGCGCUUUGUUGGAAUGGU
rnacentral:sRNA from 1 species